rnacentral:rRNA from 1 species
UACGUAUGGUGCAAGCGUUAUCCGGAUUUACUGGGCGUAAAGGAAGCGCAGGCGGCGCGCCAAGUCUGAUGUGAAACCCCGGGGCUCAACCCCGGGCAUGCAUUGGAAACUGGCGGGCUGGAGUGCCGGAGAGGUAAGCGGAAUUCCUAGUGUAGCGGUGAAAUGCGUAGAUAUUAGGAGGAACACCAGUGGCGAAGGCGGCUUACUGGACGGCAACUGACGCUGAGGCUCGAAAGCGUGGGGAGCAAACAGG